GCCUGAACAGCGGCUAAACAACCCACUUACGAUUUUAGAACAGGAUUGAGCCUAAGGCUGAUAUGACGGUCUGUGUUUUAUUCGCAGGAAAAGAUAAAUGUCAAGUUUCCGAAGAUAAUCAUGAAGGGUGACGAAAAAUGGAAAAACCCGUCUCGCGAUGAAUCCGGCCCAGGAAAAUGUGCAAACCGACCUAGAGAGAGUAUAUGAGGAUGGCUUAAGGCGAUGAGCAGAGGAGAGCUUUCUCAGAGCAAACUUAAUACUUAGAGCAAUUUAUGCAUUUUUCCGUUUUUACUAUCGAGCUGCGACUCGACUAGGUUAGAACUUAGGUGGCUAGACUAGCGAACGUACCGACAGCUCUCAUGGCUUAGGAUCUUACCUGUUGUUCACGUUUAAACGCGAAUUCGGAAAUAAGACCUCGUUGUUCUCUUUUCGCUCUUUUACGAUUUAUUACUUUCGACUCUUUCAUAUUGAUUGUGUUGUGCGUGGCCCAGCAGAUAACCGGGACCUUCAGAGAAUGCUAGGUUAGCUUAGCUUUCUUCCGAUUAACAAAUUUUGAUGGUGUGAAUUCCGGUUCCCACAACGCUCUAACGCAGUUUUUGGGUGAAAAGACUAAAAAUGCCUUCUUAAAAGCGUAACCGGUGAGUUGAAUUUUAGUUAGGAUAUUUUUAUUUAGUUGGAUUUCAAAAUUUUAAAAGAGAAACUAGUGGUGGACCCAAAAAUGAUUAAACAUGACUUUAUAUAACUACUAGGGUCCACUUCUUUACAUCUUCUCGGCUUCUUACUUUUUUUUUUUUCUUCAGAUCUGGUUUUUUUGUUGUCCUUUGGUAGAUGACGAAGAUGAAGAAUAAAAUGAGGACAGAGAGACGACGACAAAGACAGCGGCAACAAUGAGGACAUAGACGAUGACAACGCCAUAGCACCAUGAUUCCACAAAGCUCUCGGCGGAGCUCCGCUAACGUCUCCAUCACCUUUCACCCCCGGUGGACGAUCUGUCUUCUUCUGAUAUGGAAACUCGGUUCAACCAGAAAACAAUCGCUGACAUGCUCCUCCGCCAUGAUGAGCUCUUCAGAUUCGUAUGCUUUGCAAAUCUAUCAUUUACAUGUUGGAUCUCAAUAAAGAUCUUCAUUUUGUGCUGCUGAUUUGCUUGUGAUGCUAUGGAAAUCAUCAGGGAAACUAGGUGUUCUUGCUCCCCCUGUAAAUUUACUUAUUAGGACACUCCCAUGUAGAUAUCACACCUUAUAUCUUGUGCUUUUAAAUGUUUUUGUUCUGGUUUUUUCUGUUACAGCUUUUUGAUAUUAUGUGUAUAUGAAUGCUUUGAACAUUUGCAAUACCAUAUUUGCAUUUUUAAAAACCAAAAUUGUUACCCGCAUA